AUCUGUAUAAACUUUAGUUUAUACAAGCAAAAGACAGGGAACUCUGUGAUGAAGAAAUCUCUAAGGACUCUGAGAAGAAUGGUCCUGUACUCGAGUUUGAGUUUUAAACUAGGAAAAUGACUAAUAAUUGAAAAUAAUGGGAACUCUGUGGAAUUUUCUUUGUAUGUCAUCAUGAAAUUGCUGUGUAACAAACAACCAAGAUCCAAAAUAGCAAGACUGGGAGAGUUUGUGUGCUGCAGGAAGAGACCAACAAGAAACAGAAGAUCAGUCAGUGCAUGGGUAGAUGACAUCUGUGCAUCCCAUUGUGUGAAAAAUAAUCUGCUGAUUUUGCCCUUUGUUCUAAAAUAAAUUCAUUACAUAGGCCAAAAAAAAAAAAAAA
rnacentral:lncRNA from 1 species